rnacentral:rRNA from 1 species
GAUGAACGCUGGCGGCGUGCCUAAUACAUGCGAGUCGAGCGAACAGACGAGGAGCUUGCUCCUCUGACGUUAGCGGCGGACGGGUGAGUAACACGUGGAUAACCUACCUAUAAGACUGGGAUAACUUCGGGAAACCGGAGCUAAUACCGGAUAAUAUAUUGAACCGCAUGGUUCAAUAGUGAAAGACGGUUUUGCUGUCACUUAUAGAUGGAUCCGCGCCGCAUUAGCUAGUUGGUAAGGUAACGGCUUACCAAGGCAACGAUGCGUAGCCGACCUGAGAGGGUGAUCGGCCACACUGGAACUGAGACACGGUCCAGACUCCUACGGGAGGCAGCAGUAGGGAAUCUUCCGCAAAGGGCGAAAGCCUGACGGAGCAACGCCGCGUGGGUGAUGAAGGUCUUCGGAUCGUAAAACUCUGUUAUUAGGGAAGAACAAAUGUGUAAGUAACUAUGCACGUCUUGACGGUACCUAAUCAGAAAGCCACGGCUAACUACGUG